AUUGAACGCUGGCGGCAGGCCUAACACAUGCAAGUCGAACGAGUGGCGGACGGGUGAGUCAUGUCUGGGAAACUGCCUGAUGGAGGGGGAUAACUACUGGAAACGGUAGCUAAUACCGCAUACCAUCGGAUGUGCCCAGAUGGGAGUCGCUAGUAGGUGGGGUAACGGCGAACCUAGGCGACGAUCCCUAGCUGGUCUGAGAGGAUGACCAGCCACAGUGGAGCUGAGACACGGUCCAGACUCGUACGGGAGGCAGCAUGGGGGAAUAUUGCACAAGUGGAGCAAGCCUGAUUCAGCCAUGCCGCGUGUAUGAAGAAGGCCUUCGGGUUGUAAAGUACUUUCAGCGGGGAGGCGUUACCCGCAGAAGAAGCACCGGCUAACUCCGGGCCAGCAGCCGCGGUAAUAC
rnacentral:rRNA from 1 species